AAUCAUCAACUAUGGUGAGAAAGUACUUACUGCCAAGGGAAGUGGAAGUAUGAUAAGGGCCCUAAGUAUGUACGUGUAUAAGUUGGAAGGGUUUAGUAGUGCUAAUGCUACUAUCAGGGAAAUGCAGUCUGGUUUGUUUUGCCAUAUGACAAAUAGAACAAGGAAAAGGUUGUUUAGCAGCAAAAGAAAAAGGUAAACCAGAAACAUGUU
rnacentral:lncRNA from 1 species